AAACAAUUUGUGCUUUUUAUCCAUACGACCCGUUUUGUCCCUAUUCACAAGAAUCACUGAACUAAUAAAGUGAAAGAAUUGUCCUUAAAAUUAUUCACAUAAUUUACCCACCAAAACAUUUCUACCACGUUUUAACGAUGAUAAUAUAGAUAUUAUCAGAUUCUAUCUGAUCAUAUAGUAUCAGAUAGUAUAUUAUAUUAUCAGUAUCCAGAAGAUGUUUUGGUUUUUGUCCUUUUUCUGUUCAACUUUGGAAAAGUAUUUUCACUUUGAUUUGUACUGAACCAUACUUCUCCCUUUGUCUUCAACAUGUAUUGUUUGUUACCCGAUAACAAAAAAACAUUUUUAUAUAAUUAAUCUUAUAUUCUUAGCCAAACGGCACGUUCAUAAAUGAAAACCACCUUUUUCCAUGUUAAUAAAUGACGUCAAACAAUGAGAACUACUGAAAACCACCAAUACCAAAGCUAUUAAAACAUGCUCUGUGACGUGUUUAUGAGAUGUUAUGGUAAAAUAUUGUCUCCAUGUUUUAACCCUGGCGGACACAAUGUAUGCUGACCUGUAUCUCAAUAAAGAUCUAUUCAAAAUACAUAAAUGAAGAGAUGAAUAACUGGAGGAUAAUCAGGAUCAUUCAACGAAUAAUGUUCAGAAAUCAGCCGAUUUCAAACAUCCCGUCAUUCUCGGUUGAACCCGCAUUACGUCACAGAUUAAAGCUACUAAUAAGCGUCAUAAACUACAUCCUGACGCAUUUUCCUCUUAUUUUUCAGCUGAACACUAACUCAGUGAUGGUGCUCAUGUAACGCCCCGCCCCCACCUGUUGCCAGAGACUCGUGUUGGCAGAACCGGUGUUCCGAACUCGGCCCGGUUCCUGCAGAAUCUUCUGCACAGUUGGUGAGGAGGAGAGUUUCCCGCCUCCGCAGCUCGGUGGGGAGGAAGAGGAGUGAUGAAGGCCGGUUCUUCUCAGCUCUUUGUUCUGGAUAAUAAUCCGUUAAAUGCGUCGCCUGGGAAACCAGCCUGAACUUUGACCUUCACAGCACAGCAGGUUGAUCCACCAUGAUGAAGAUGAGGAUGAUGAGGGAGAGCAGAAACUGUAAUUAGUAAAAACAUAUCGUCUGAUUCCAGGUUCGGUUCUCUGAUAAAGAAAUAUGGAGAUAAA